rnacentral:rRNA from 1 species
UACGUAUGGUGCAAGCGUUGUUCGGAAUCACUGGGCGUAAAGGGUGCGCAGGCGGACUGUUAAGUCGGGAGUGAAAACUGAGGGCUCAACCCUCAGCCUGCUUUCGAAACUGGCAGUCUGGAGUCCCGGAGAGGCAGGCGGAAUUCCCGGUGUAGCGGUGAAAUGCACAGAUAUCGGGAGGAACACCAAUGGCGAAGGCAGCCUGCUGGACGGAGACUGACGCUCAUGCACGAAAGCGUGGGGAUCAAACAGGAUUAGAUACCCUGGUAGUCCACGCCCUAAACGUUGUAGACCAGACGUUGGAGGCAUCAACCCCUUCAGUGUCAAACCAAACGGAUUAAGUCUACCGCCUGGGGACUAUGCUCGCAAGAGUGAA